GAUGAACGCUGGCGGUAUGCCUAACACAUGCAAGUCGAACGAAAUCUUCGGAUUUAGUGGCGGACGGGUGAGUAACGCGUGAGAAUCUGCCUCGAGGAUGGGGACAACAGUUGGAAACGACUGCUAAUACCCAAUAUGCAUAUAAUGUGAAAUUAUUUAGCCUUGAGAGGAGCUCGCGUCCGAUUAGUUAGUUGGUGGGGUAAAAGCCUACCAAGGCAGCGAUCGGUAGCUGGUCUGAGAGGAUGAGCAGCCACACUGGGACUGAGACACGGCCCAG
rnacentral:rRNA from 1 species